UGAAUUCAAAAGAAAAAACAAGCGGUAUUUAAAAUCAAAAUGACUUAUUCACCACAAAGAUGUACGAAUGUUCUACUUCCCAAUACCAGUACCUAAAAAGAAAAUUCACCACAAAGAUGUACAAGUCUUUCUACUACAUAUUCACAACAACAAUGUAAAAGUGUUCCACUGCAUAAUUUACAACAAAUCAAAAUGAUUUAUUCACCACAAAGAUAUACACUCCUGCUGCGUUAUUGCAUCCAACUUCUUCAUUUUCUCACUCCCUUCUACCCAUUUUCUCACCACGAAUCACAGUGUUUCUUUGUCAUGGCCUAAUUUUGAACUGCUUAUGACCUUAUGACUUGAUCCAUACUUUGCAAUCCAUAAUAUCUGGCAAUCACUCCAACAUCACAAGUGGCCAUCAUUGCAGUUGUCAACUUCGCAAUUCCCAAUGCAAUUGCCUGUCCUUUGGUGCUAGGUGUACAGGUAAAGUUUCAACAAUUUUUUACGAGUUUCCACUCGGCAUUUUUACAUUGGUCCUUGACAAAAACACACAACAAUGGCACCAUAUAGGUGCUGCCAAGCAGCCUGUAAACAAUUCCCCUGUACAAGGGGAACACCACUUUCCUUCCAACGUCAAUAUCAUUCUCAAACCUUACCAACUUUGGGAUCAUCAACUUCGCCCAGACACAAAUGGCAUUCACCGCCGAAUCCUUCACCACCAGCCCUUAUAACUAGUCAAAAGAACCUCAUACGGCAGAAUCCCUCACCACCACUCCAUUAUCUUCAACCCAACAGAUUUCUAUACUCUGGUUGUAAUAUUAUUGCAAUUUUCCACCAUAUGCAACUUCCUUUUUAUACCAUAGGCAACAUCCUUCCUCUUCUUUAUCAAUUAAUCAAUAUCAGCAUCCUUUUCUCUGGUAUUCUGCGUCCGAUCGGAAGGUUUUUCUAGUGGGUCGGAUUCUUUGCUUUUGCUUUUCUUCUUCUUUUUCUCUUAGUGAGAAAUUUAAAUACUGGCCAUGGCAAUGAGGAAAAAACAGAGGAGAAUUUAGUAUGGAAAUCGAGUUGAUUUGGGGAAGAAAUCAAUUUAGGUUUUACUUCAAAGAUUGGGGAAAUUGAAAUUUUGAUUUGAGAUGGAAAAAGAGUUUCUUUUUAGAAUGGGUUUUUGUCCAAGUUGUCGAGUUUUAACGCCGUUUAAUACCACAUAAGAUUUCCAUCCGCAACAUGUAUUUUUU
rnacentral:lncRNA from 1 species